GUUAUUUAAUAAUUUUCAAGAGGGUUUAUUAAAAGUCUCAUAUCCAUGCACUCCACAAUUUACAAAAAAAAUCUUUAUUUAUGUUAAUAUGAUAUACCUGCCUACCAGAUCUACCUGGUAGCAGUUCACAAGGUCAAGCACAAUUAUAUAGUUAAAUUUUAUAGGUUUCUAAAACAAUUGGCUAGACACUAACCAUAAAAAGUGAC
rnacentral:lncRNA from 1 species